AGUAAAUAGAUACCCCGGUAGUCCACGCCGUAAACGAUGUCGACUUGGAGGUUGUGCCCUUGAGGCGUGGCUUCCGGAGCUAAACGCGUUAAAGUCGACCGCCUGGGGAGUACGGCCGCAAGGUUAAAACUCAAAUGAAUUGACGGGGGCCCGCACAAGCGGUGGAGCAUGUGGUUUAAUGCGAUGCAACGCGAAGAACCUUACCUACUCUUGACAUCCAGAGAACUUAGCAGAGAUGCUUUGGUGCCUUCGGGAACUCUGAGACAGGUGCUGCAUGGCUGUCGUCAGCUCGUGUUGUGAAAUGUUGGGUUAAGUCCCGCAACGAGCGCAACCCUUAUCCUUUGUUGCCAGCGGUUAGGCCGGGAACUCAAAGGAGACUGCCAGCGAUAAACUGGAGGAAGGUGGGGAUGACGUCAAGUCAUCAUGGCCCUUACGAGUAGGGCUACACACGUGCUACAAUGGCGCAUACAAAGAGAAGCGACCUCGCGAGAGCAAGCGGACCUCAUAAAGUGCGUCGUAGUCCGGAUUGGAGU
rnacentral:rRNA from 1 species